rnacentral:rRNA from 1 species
AACGAACGCUGGCGGCGUGCCUAAUACAUGCAAGUCGAGCGAGAAAGUCUCUUCGGAGGCGAGUAAAGCGGCGCACGGGUGAGUAACACGUGGGUAACCUGCCCUUGAGUCUGGGAUAACCCGGGGAAACCCGGGCUAAUACCGGAUACGGCUGCGGGGUCUUCGGAUCCUGCAGAGAAAGAUGGCCUCUUCAUGAAUGCUAUCUCUCAAGGAUGAGCCCGCGUCCUAUUAGCUAGUUGGUGGGGUAACGGCCCACCAAGGCGAAGAUGGGUAGCUGGUCUGAGAGGAUGACCAGCCACACUGGAACUGAGACACGGUCCAGACUCCUACGGGUGGCAG